GAUCUCUCACGUCUCCCUGGAGACGUCCCAACUCAUCUGUUCUUGGAAGCUAAGCAGAGUCAGGCCCAGCGAACGCCUGAACAGGAGGGGAGAGCG
rnacentral:rRNA from 1 species